rnacentral:rRNA from 1 species
CGUAGGGGGCAAGCGUUGUCCGGAUUUACUGGGCGUAAAGCGCGUGUAGGCGGCCAUGCAGGUCCGUUGUGAAAACUGGAGGCUCAACCUCCAGACGUCGACGGAAACCGUGUGGCUAGAGUCCGGAAGAGGAGAGUGGAAUUCCUGGUGUAGCGGUGAAAUGCGCAGAUAUCAGGAAGAACACCAAUGGCGAAGGCAGCUCUCUGGGACGGUACUGACGCUGAGACGCGAAAGCGUGGGGAGCGAACAGGAUUAGAUACCCUGGUAGUCCACGCCGUAAACGAUGGGUGCUAGGUGUGGGAGGUGUCGACUCCUUCCGUGCCGUAGCUAACGCAUUAAGCACCCCGCCUGGGGAGUACGGCCGCAAGGCUA